GACGAACGCUGGCGGCGUGCCUAAUACAUGCAAGUAGAACGCACAGUUUAUACCUUCGCUUGCUACACCAUAGACUGUGAGUUGCGAACGGGUGAGUAACGCGUAGGUAACCUGCCUGGUAGCGGGGGAUAACUAUUGGAAACGAUAGCUAAUACCGCAUAAUAUUAAUUAUUGCAUGAUAAUUAAUUGAAAGGUGCAAUUGCACCACUACCAGAUGGACCUGCGUUGUAUUAGUUAGUAGGUGAGGUAACGGCGCACCUAGGCGACGAUACAUAGCCGACCUGAGGAGGGGAUCGGCCAAACUGGGACCGGGACCCGGCCCAGACCCCUACGGGAGGGAGCAGUAGGGAAUCUUCGGCAAUGGACGAAAGGCUGACCGGGCAAAGCCGCGGGAGUGGAGGAGGGUUUCGGAUCGGAAAGCUCUGUUGUAAGAGAAGAACGGGUGUGAGAGUGGAAAGUUCACACUGUGACGGUAUCUUACCAGAAAGGGACGGCUAACUACGUG
rnacentral:rRNA from 1 species